CAGGUGGGACGAUCUGUCGCUCAUAUGAGAGGAAAGUCCGGACAGGAAAGGGCAUCCCGCUGCGGAAAGCGCAGGUGGAGGUAACUUUACGAAAACCGUAACAGAAAACAACCGGCCGAAAGGCCAAGGGUGAAAACGCGAGGCAAGAGCUCACGAUGUCCUGCAGCGAUGCAGGGCAGGUACGGCACCGGGACCUGCAAAACCAAAUAUACUGACAGAUGAGGACGGCCCGUCCGAUGUCAGGGGGUAGGUUGCGAAGAUAAAUGACAGAUUUAAAAACAGAAACCGGCUUACGGCCCCACCUUAACU
rnacentral:RNase_P_RNA from 1 species